rnacentral:rRNA from 1 species
UAGCGUAGGGGGCAAGCGUUUGUCCGGAUUUAUUGGGCGUAAAGAGCGUGUAGGCGGUUUGGAUAGGUCCGCUGUGAAAACUCGAGGCUCAACCUCGAGACGCCGGUGGAAACCAUCAGACUAGAGUCCGGAAGAGGAGAGUGGAAUUACCUGGGUGUAGCGGUGAAAUGCGCAGAUAGUCAGGAAGAACACCCGUGGCUAAGGCGGCUCUCUAGUACGGUAACUGGACGGCUGAAGACGGCGAAAAGCG